rnacentral:misc_RNA from 1 species
GUGAAUCAUCAAAUUUUUGAACGCAAAUUGCACUCUCCUCGGAGAGUAUGCCUGUUUGAGGGUCAGCCUAUAAAAAAUCGACAUCGUUGCUGUUUCGCGGUGGCGUUCGUCGGAAAUUGGGUCAUCUUAAAUCCUUUUGGUUUUUAAGCGACUUAAAAUUUUCUUUUUGUUUCAUUGAACGUUCCUAAGAUUUAUUUUUUUAACCGUUUAAGGAAUCGAUUUUUAUUAGACGUGACCAUAA